rnacentral:lncRNA from 1 species
GGUCAGGAAGAGUUUGUUGUGAAGAGUAGUGGAGUGGAAUCGUGGCCAUCACCGGGACAUGCCACGUGGAGUCUGUUGUGGGGAGUGGAGCGGCGUCCGUUGUCGCGACUUGCCAGAGGGUGGAGGAACCGCACGGUAUCCAUCGCAGAAAGUGGAGCAGAAUUGUGGCCAUUAUUGUGGUCUGCCGAGGAGUGAUGGAGCCGCGC